rnacentral:lncRNA from 1 species
GACCAGAGAUCAAGCGUGGACUCGUGUCGACUACCUCAUUAAAAAAACCUUAACAAAGAAAACCACUUGGGAUAAAACUUUGUUAAGGGAAAAAGAGUAUAGCCUUCACGGUCCUUGAUGUCGCUAUGAUCUUGGUUUGUUAAGAACCGGCUCUCUUCUCUUCAAGUCUUUGAACCGCUACACUGCCUUUAACUCGCUUCUCAUGAUCUCCAAUCUUGCACUUCUCGAAUUUCUUUGAGGCUCUCAUAGUCUCCUUUACCCUUUAAACAAGUGAUAAAGAAGAGUGUAUAAGUAUAUGCUAUGAGGAAUAUCAAAGAAAAUUUUAAGAAUGUGACAAGUCUAAGGGAAACAUAUUCGAGCAUAAAGACUAGCAAUUGAACUACGGUAAUGAAUUUAAAUAGAGUAGAGUUUUAGAGCACAGCCUUUGGUUUGAAUCGCCAUUCUUGAUGAUGGCUUCUUUUCUUUAUCCCUUGAGAGAACUUCUUCAUCGUGAAUUGAAGAGGACUUUUGGAUUCAUCAUGAUUUUAAAUGCUUUGAACAUUUCGUUCAAAGACAUCCCAUGGUUCUCUUCCCCCUUCUUUCCUCCGUGAGUCUCUUCUUCAAGGGCUUUGAUUUUGUGGUCGCCAUUUCUUCUUGGAAUUCUCUCAAGAAGAGAUGGAAGGCAUAAGCCUGAGAAUAAGAGACAAAAAUGAAAGUGUAUGUUACCAAGAAUAAGAGAAUAAAGAGUAUAAAGAGUAUGGACUCAAGAGUGCCAAUGGACAAAGUUCUUAGCUUUGUUUUCUUGAGUUGAGGUUGAAAGUAUGUGGGGUUUAGUAACCAGAAUGGGCAUGAGAAUUGAAGCCGCUCCCUUUCUUCAACACGGGUAGCCAUUAUUUUCUACUCCGGGUUCUUCAAGGUCUAACUUCAAGACGCCAUGAUACUUCCAACGAGUACCAAUCAUGUUGUCUACUUCGUGGACUCCAUGGCUACUCCAAACUGAACUUUUGUUGCGGUUUGAGCUCUCUUCUUGAG